CUGCAAGUUUCUUCAAAUGGUUGCAAUGCUUACUGCAACCUCCAUCUCCUAGGCUCAAGUGAUCCUCCUGCCUCAGCCUCCCAAAGUGCUGGGAUUACAAGCAUGAGCUACUACAUCUGUCCAAAAGCUGCAUUUCCAAGACCAGGUUUUCUGCCUCCUGCUAAGCCAAUUUAUACAUUCCAAGAAAAUCUUCCAUUUCAUCCAGGUGAAACAGAACCUACUGGAAUGAAGCUGGCCUCCCGUCUCCUUGAUUUGAAGCAGCUUCUCCACAUUGGUUAUUAUGCCAUUUUUCUAAAUCUAACGUUUUAAAAUUUGUGCCUUUCCUUUCUCUUUUGCUUGACUUCCCAGAGGUUUUUUUAACCGUCUUUUCAAAGAAGUGGUUUUGGGUUUUAUUUAUCAAGUCUACUUUUAUUAUGGCUGUUUUAAAAUUAAAUAUAUUUAUUUCUUGUUUCCCUUAAAAAAGCUUCUUGUAUGUUUACUUAGUUUAUAUAAUUUUAUAUGUCUUUUGUUGAAGCAUAUUAACAAACACUUGCAGCUAUAACAUUUCCCCUGGGAACUGCUUUGGACAUAUCCAAAGAUUUUGAUAAGUCACAC
rnacentral:lncRNA from 1 species